GGAGGAGGCCAAGCGGCUGCCAGAAGCCACCACAGAUCCCUCACUCGCCUCCCGGCUCCGGCAGAGCUCUGCCCGGCCAUGGGGAGCCGCAGCCUGCUGGCCACCAUCCUGGCCACCACCUUGGUCUCCCUCUUACCCCCCCCCGCCGCCCCCUCGACCCACCGCAAGCUGCUGGUCUUCUUGCUCGACGGCUUUCGCUUCGACUACAUCGAUGAUGGCGAGCUGGAGGGGCUGCCGGGCUUUCGGGACAUCGUCAACAUGGGGGUGAAGGUGGACUACAUGACCCCGGACUUCCCCAGCCUCUCCUACCCUAAUUACUACACGCUGAUGACGGGUCGGCACUGUGAGGUCCAUCAGAUGAUUGGAAACUACAUGUGGGACCAGAAGAGAAAUGUGUCUUUUGAUAUUGGUGUGAAUACCGAAAGCCUGCUGCCUCUCUGGUGGAAUGGAUCAGAGCCUUUGUGGGUCACAAUGACGAAAGCAAAAAAGAAUGUUUUCAUGUACUACUGGCCAGGUUGCGAGGUGGAAAUCCUCGGAGUCCGACCAAGUUACUGCCGCGAGUACUUCAGCGUCCCCUCAGACAAAAACUUUGCAGACGCCAUCAGCGACGCUCUGGAGUCUCUGCGCAAUGGCAGCGCCGAGAUGGCCGCCAUAUACUACGAGCGCAUCGACGUGGAAGGCCACCACUACGGCCCCUCAUCCCAGCAGCGGAAGAACGCUUUGAAGGAGGUGGACAAAGCCUUGAGCAACAUGAUCAGCCUCAUCAAGAGCAAAGGUCUUCAGCAUGACCUCAACGUCAUCCUCUUCUCCGAUCACGGGAUGACAGACAUCUCUUGGGCCGACAAAGUGAUUGAGCUGAAAAACUACAUCAAUAUGAGCGACACCAUACAAAUGAAGGACCGAGGUCCUGUCGUGAGCCUCUGGCCAGCUCCAGAGAAGCAUGCGGAGAUAUAUCAGAAGUUGAAAGCUGUGGAACACAUGGACGUUUAUAACAUACAGGAUAUUCCAGAAAGGUUUUUCUACAAAAAAGGAAAAUUUGUGUCUCCUCUAACUCUCGUGGCCGAGGAAGGAUGGUUCAUAGCAGAGAGCAGGGACAAGCUGCCCUUCUGGGAGAACGGGACGGGGAAGAAGGAGGCCUGGCAGAACGGGUGGCACGGCUACGACAACGAGCUCAUGGACAUGAGAGCCUUCUUCAUCGCCUACGGGCCAGCUUCUCCUCACAGUCCCAGCCAAGCUCUGUCUUUACCGACCCGUUCUUCAGAGCCCAGCACUUUGCUGAGGAAUCACAACGCCGAGAGCGGUGGAUCAGCAGGAGAACAGCGAGACCAUCCUACUUCUCUCAGCCUUUCCUCCUUCUUCUUUUUCCCCAAAGUGAGCCCUGGCCCAGCAGCUCUCCAGGGCUGGGCUUUCCUCGUGGACCGCAGCGGGGCAGAAGGCUGGGAGAGGGGAGAGCCAUAGAAAUCCUCCAUUCAAAACCAGGAGGAAAGGGAAACAGCCCAGGGGCGGGGAGAAAGCAAGAUGGGGAAACCUGGCAUUUAACAGCCUCUCUGCUUUUCCUGGUGAAGAUAAUGUCAUCUGCUCAGGUUUGGGGUUUUUUUUUUGACAACUGCGUUUCUGAAGGUUUUUUUCAACACUUAAUUGCUUUUCUACCAGCCUUGCUCUCUACUCCUCCGCCUGGUGAGCAGCACAUCCUCUUUUAUUCUGCGGCAGGGAGAGAUGUCUGCACUGGUGGAUCUCCCACCCUCUCCCUCAAUCCCAGCUAAGGUUUCCACCGCAGGAUAUAAAGCCAAAACAAAGUUGAAACGACAAAGUUACACAGCAGGAGAGGAUGGGACUGUUGUCGGAGGUAAUGCCUCUGGUGGUUAAGUCAAAUGGAUGAGGUAUCCUGAAAACAUCAACAUGGCAGAUAUAUUAAAUCCUUGGAAAACCUGAUUUUUUUUGCCCUACUCAUUCACUCCAGCACAGCCGUGGAUCCACCUUGGGGCUGGGGGCAAAGCCAGCACCACGGUCUGUUAGCUCAGAGGAUUAAUUACUCCUAAUGGUUUAAUCUUCUAGUUGUCACAGUCCUUGGUGUCACACACUGGGGUGGAUGGAUGGAUGGAUGCCAUGGUGGGUCAUUUUUCCAUCCUUACAUUUCUACUGUGAAAUAAGCUUGUCUAGAACAGGGCUGUAAGGGUCUGCCGUGGUUUGGGUGGUCCUCAAACCAGGACAGGGUGUUCCUCCUGCAAAGUGUCCUCUCCUCUUCGGGAGGCUGUGGCCUUUGGCAAUGCCUCUGGGAGUGCAUUUUCUGAUAUACCUCUCAACCAGGAGCUUUCCCUGACAAACUGCCUUUGUUUAUUGGGAUUUAGGUCCCUCCUCAUGCAAAAAAACCCCAAACAAACCAAAACCCAAACCUCUAGGACUUCUGAUUCCCAUGGAUCCAGAGUCAAGCAGGAUCCAGGUGUGUGUGGUACGGUGAGUUUAAGGGUGAGUGAUUACACCGUGGAAAAAAAACACAAAACCCAAGCACCAAAUUAAACUUGACAAAAGACUUCUGUAAUAGCUGUAAAGAUUUAUGUAAUGUGUUUUUAAAGCUCAAGUGAACCAUCAAAUCAAUUGGGAAAAAAAAAAAGGGGGGGAGAAAAUCAGUCUUUGUUAUUAGACUGUUCAGUAUAAAAGGCAAUUUAGUGCUUUCGAAGCAUUUGCAGUAGCUGUAAAACAAGCACCUAUUGUUCAGAGUUCCCUGUUGCUCUUUAAUGGACCAGGCUCAGUGAAUUCACUGGAGCACAUUUUUAAAGAGCAAAAAUUACCAGUAUACAAGAUAAGCAAAUGACUAAAUUACGAAGUUUUGUUUGAAAAUCAACAGGAUGGGUACAGUCAGCGCCCGCUAGUCCCUCCUUUAAUUCUUGCAGUGAGCAGAACCCAGUGUCCUCUUCCAGAAGAUCAGAUCCAAAAAGUAUAAGGCGAUGUUCAGAUUCCCAGUUAUACCAGCAGAAAUGGGAAAUAACAAAGGGGGUCCAUUGGGUUGUUCCAGGGAUGGGCCAUGACACGGGAAGCCCACGUUGAUCCUUGGGAUUACUUUGUGUAACUCGUUCGUGGCGCCGUGUCCAGGCGCAAAUACGGCAAAAUAAAUCUUUUCAUUGCAAUAUGACUUGUCUGACCUUAGGGCCAGCAUCGUGCUUACACCUCAAAAGAUAACUUGAACUGUGAAAGGGAAAAUUUGACGGUAGCCCUGCGAGAAGCUCAUUAGCUUCAGGAGAACCACAGGUAAUUAAUUUUGGAGAAGCGCACCUUUCUUCCUCGGCAAUGUCGUGCCUCUGAAUCAGUUCACAUUCUCAUUCAGAAAUCGAGUGCCUUGACUCCAGCCUAUUUUUCUGUGUACUAUGCAGCGGGGGUGGAUGUAUUUUAAAACCUGUUUCUGACUGAUGUUUUUGUACAACGACUGAUUGUGAAUGAGUGAAUAAUUCUAAGAAUGCUGUUAGGGAAAAAAAAAAAAAA